ACCCAUAAAGUACUUAAAAGUUUGUGUCGCAUAUAUCUUAAAAAUAUGUAACCUGUAGUUGAAAUUAUAAUUCAGAAUGUGAAUUUUUGUGCCUAAGUUAUUUUUUUUUGCUGCCUGAAGUGGGAAGCAUAAUAUUGUUGUUACCUUGCCCAUCCAUCUGUCUGUUCAUCACUCUUCUUGUCCAGAUGAUAACUCAGAAAGUAUUGAAGGUACCAAGUUGUAACUUUACACAAUGACAGAGCUCUUUGAGAGAAAGUGCUGUGGUAAGCAACCAUAACUCUAAAUGGUCCCAUUUUUGAAUUAUCUCCCUUUUUUGAAAACCUUGUCCAGGGUAUAACUCGAACAUUUCUUUCUUGAUAGUGUAUAUAUUUACUUUACAUUCAUUCGGUGACCCUAAUCAAAGUCUGACAAGAAUAUUGUUGUGCUACUUUCAGAUAUUUAUAUAUUACAUUACCCACAACUUCUUGUCUCCUAAAUUCAUCAUGGGUCAAUAGAUAAUAGGUAAGGGUAGAUUUCUCGGAAGCACAGAGCACCACAAACACAGCCAAAGAGCCACGCAUUUGCAAAGUAGGCCCACAGCAGAAAGAAGCUGUAACAGAAAACAGGUUGCUUCAAAAAUCCAACAAGUACAUUUUACUUUUAUGCAAAAUAAAGAAGGGGGGGGGGGGGGGGAAGGGGCAGGUGUUAGAAAGUGGAGGAGGCUACUGCUACGUUCUGCAAUAAAUCAGUUCAUGUUCAAAUAAAAUACAUGUUCUUCAUUUGUUAUAUUCCCACCUCACAGGUACAUUUCUCCUCAACACAAUUUCCAUGACUGAAAAGCCUUAGAAUCAUAAAACAUCAGGGGAUCGUUAUAUAGCAUAUGAAGUUGUGCAUCUGAGUGUUCUAUUUGGGAUUUCACUUAGCUAGACCAGAGUUAUGGUCCUUGACUUUGUGAAAAAUACACAUAAAAGUUUGUGUUGCAUAUAUCUUAAAAGUAUUUCACCUUGGUUCAUGAAACCAUGAAUAGUAACAGGAAGUUGGGACACCAGUUUCCAAUGGACACACAAGUUUCCAAACAGAUAAUUAUUUGACUGUAUGAGGAAAGGAAGAACUCUUUCAUAUAAGGAAGAUGUUUUUUACCUGAUGGGAAGUACUCUUUCAUGUAAGGAAGAUGUUUGUUACCUGAUGGGAAGUACUCUUUCAUGUAAGGAAGAUGUUUGUUACCUGAUGGGAAGUACUCUUUCAUGUAAGGAAGAUGUUUGUUACCUGAUGGGAAGUACUCUUUCAUGUAAGGAAGAUGUUUGUUACCUGAUAGAAAGUACUCUUUCAUGUAAGGAAGAUGUUUGUUACCUGAUAGAAAGUACUCUUUCAUAUAAGGAAGAUGUUUGUUACCAGACGGGAGGUGCUCUUUCAGCUCUGGCAGCCCUAAAAUCAGUCAAGCAAUUCCAUUUCAACAACUGUGAGAGAGGAGCUUAGGAGAAUGCUACAGACCAACUUCAGUGACAUUCUGUCAAGCAAUAAAGAAGUUGUUUAAUGAUAUUAUACUUUUAGCUCUUGUGGACCCUAAAGUCAGUCAAGAGGAACCGUUUGAACAAAUUGAGAGUGUACCAUACAAGGAUGCUACAGACCAAUUUCAGCGAUAAUCCAUCAAGUGUUUCAUGAGAUGUUGUUUAAAGGUUGUUUUUUUUUUUUAGCUCUGGCAGCCCCUAAACUCAGUCAAGCAUCUGAACAGUAAACACAAUGUCAUGUUCCCCCAAUUUUCAGUCCUGUGAUCACUUUGACCUUGACCUUUGACCUACUAACUCCCAAAACAGUAGGGUUCAUCAAUUUCAUAAGCCUAAUCAUGCUAUCAAGUUUGAAGAUACUGAGUCAGGUGGUUCUCAAGCUAGUGGAAAUGAUUUUCAAGGUUAAGGCCCGUAUGACCUCAACUGUUGACUUAUUGACCCUAAAAUAACAGGAGUCUUCUAUUUCAUUAAGCCCUAUCAUGCUAUCAAGUUUGAAGUUUCUUGGUCAAGUGUUUCUUAAAUUACAGAAAUAGUUUUAAUGUUGAGGUUCCUGUGACCUUGACCUUUGAUCAACUGACCUCAAAAUCAAUGGGGGUUAUCUACUUCAUUAGCCCAAUCAUGCUAUCAAGUGGUUAACUGAGUGGAAACUGUUUUCAAGUUUCAGGUCCCUGUGAUCUUGACCUUUGACUUACUGACCCGAAAAAACAACAGGGGUUCUCUACUUUAUAAGCCCAAUAAUGCUAUCAAGUUUGAAGGUUCUGGGUCAAGUUAGCAAACCGUUUUGAACGUUCAGGUUCCUGUGACCUUGACCUCUGACCUAAAAAACAAUAGGGAUCAUUUACUUCAUUAGCCCAAUCAUGCUUUUAUGUUUGAAGGUUCUAGGUAGAGUGGUUCUCAAGUUAUAAAGCAGAAACUUUUUUGAAGGUUCAGGCCCCUGUGACAUUGGCUUAGUGACCCCAAGAACAAGAUGAUCAUCUACUUUAUAAGCCCAAUCAUGGUACCAAGUUUGAAGGUUCUGGGUCAAGUGCUUCUACAGUUAUUGGGCGGAAACAGUUUUGAAGGUUCAGGCCCCUGUGACCUUGACCUUUGACCUAAAGAACAGGGGUCAUUUACUUCAUUAUCCCAACCAUGCUUUUAUGUUCAAAGGUUCUAGGUAGAGUGGUUCUCAAGUUACUGCGUGGAUCUUUUUUUGAAGGUUCAGGCCCCUGUGACAUUGACUUAUCGACCCCAAGAACAAGAUUAUCAUCUACUUUAUUAGCCCAAUCAUGGUACCAAGUUUGAAGGUGCUUCUCCAGUUAUUGGGCAGAAACUGUUUUGAAGGUUUAGGCCCGUGACUGCGACCUUUGACCUACUGAUCCAAAAAACUAUCAGGAUCAUAUACUUCAAGUGCCCAAUCAUGGUACGAAGUUUGAUGGUUUCGAGUCAAGUGGCUCUCAAGUUAUUUAGUGGCAACUGUUAGCUCUACCAACAGAGGGACAGAUGGACUGAAUGACAGGUGCAAAGAAAUAUACCCUUCACUUCUCCAAAUGGGGCCAUAAAUGUAGGAGACGAUUUUAUAGACAAAUGCUACAGUCAAAGUUGAGAGAAAUUCCAUCAAGAAGUUCAUGAGAAGUUUUUUAAUGGUUUUUCAAUUUUAGUUUUGGCAGCCCCCGAUUUCAGUCAAGUGGAACAAUUUGAUAAUUUAGAAAGGACCUUACAUGAAUGCUACAAACAAAGUUUAGCUCUACUGACAGAGGGGCGGACUGACCGACCGACAGGUGCAAAGAAAUAUACCCUUCAUCAAGUGGUUCAUGAGAAAAAGCUGUUUAAAGAUUUUUUUUUAUUUUUAGCUCUGGCCGCCCCAGCUACAGACCAAGUUUACCGAUAUUCCAUCAAACAGUUCAUGUGUUUUUUCUACUUUUAGCUCUGGCAGCCCAUAAAUUCAGUUUGAAAAAAUUAUGAAAGAAUCUUACAAGGGUGGUACAGACCAAGUUUGGUGAUGAUCCAUUCUGCAGUUCAUGAGAAGUUGUUUAAAAGUGAAAAGCUAAUGCCAGACAACAAAUGAAGGAUACAGGCCUGAACCGUUCAGAAGAGCUAAAAAUAAUUGUGAUGAAGCAUUGUGUUGAUCAAACUUCCAUUCCAGAGAUCCCAUACAAUAGUUUUCGUAUCAAAAGCAGUGUAAUAGAUGUAAAGAAAAGAUAUAUCAUUGAGAUAUUUUAUUCAUAAAAGAAAAAAAUCAUGUUAACAAUCUAUGUAAUAUAUGAUUCAAACAACAGUCAAUAUUCAACGUUAAUAUUAAAUAUUAACUUUCACUACAUAAUUAAAAAACUACAGUCUCAAUCCAAAUAAAAACAGAUU